GGCAGAACAUGGAGGCCGGUACAUGGAGGAGAAGACUCGCGGGGCCCGACAAUCAUCGCAGAUAUUCACUGGAGAUCCCGGCUCAGGAAGGGAAUCAACGACAAGAGUCUGAUAGGACAGGAGUGAGCACAGAGGAGUGCUAGUCCUGCCCUCACAUACUGGACUCUGUCCAUGCCUGUACUUCAACUGGGACAAAGGUGGUGCUGAUGCCAGACAGACUUACGGAAGUGCCUCCAUAACCGCAGUCAUUAAUCCUAAUUCUUUCAUUAUCUGGCGGAGAGGCAUGUCGGGAUGAUAUAUGAUGGUCCUGAUAACCAUUAGAGGCCUCACC